rnacentral:tRNA from 1 species
GCGGGUGUGGUGAAAUUGGUAGACACGCUGGAUUUAGGUUUCAGUGGCUCAAAGCCUUGGGGGUUCAAAUCCCUCCACCCGCACCG